rnacentral:lncRNA from 1 species
AGCAUGAUAUACAGAGAAUGGUUCUGGGAUGUAAAGAAAGAGAAAAAGUUUUGAUGUCUUGUAACGUAAGAAGAAAACAGAACCAUAGUAAAGAAGAAACCCCCUAUCCACUAGUAUUGAUAAGAAACUUCUCCUAAGGCAAAAAGAAAAAAUGGGAUUGAUGUUGAAGGGUAGACAUAGGGAUCAUCCAGGUUUAGAUGAUUAGGAGUAAGCACUUGAGAACCAUUGGGUAGUCAAGGUUUUAUUCCUAUAUGCAUUUGUUGGUCCUUACCUUUAGCAUUCUCCCUAAAGCUCAAUCCAUUCAUUAAGAGAUCCUUGUCCUGAAAUUGUUUAAACCCUCUUGUUUCUCAAAACCUUUUUCUGCCUAGCCAAGUGAGUUUGUUAAGCUUUGCACAACCAUAUUCACAUACUUGAGUAAUGAAUGUUAAAAGGAAUGAAUGAUUUGAAUGCAUGU